AGGCCUUGCUUGGAUGAUCCAGGAUAAGCUCUCCAUCUGAAGAUCUUUAAUCACAUCUGCCAAGUCUUGGCCAUCCAUACAGGAACCUUUCAGGUAGUAAUGUGUGUCAACUGGGAAAAAAAGAGAACGCAGACAAACAAGUGAAAGAGUUACAGAAGGCUAAUCCCAAAAGGAGAUGUUGCCUUUUCCAAGUUGCAACCGAACUUAAAGGGCUAUAAGAAGUCUUCACCAUUUUCAGGAGUUCAAGAUAGAUCAUCAGAGAAUUUGGGUGAAUCUCUCAUAAUGUACAAAUCCAGAGAGAAAGGUAAAGAAAGAUGUAAAAGGGGAAGAAAAAGAAAACAAAAUGGAAAAAAUACAAAAAUGUAAUGUUCACACUGCCUGUUCAAUCAUAAAUAAAUACAGCAAAACAUAUUCACUGCUAUGCUCCUUUCAUCUA